rnacentral:rRNA from 1 species
UUUAUGGAGAGUUUGAUCCUGGCUCAGGAUGAACGCUGGCGGCGUGCCUAAUACAUGCAAGUCGAGCGAACGGACGAGAAGCUUGCUUCUCUGAUGUUAGCGGCGGACGGGUGAGUAACACGUGGAUAACCUACCUAUAAGACUGGGAUAACUUCGGGAAACCGGAGCUAAUACCGGAUAAUAUUUUGAACCGCAUGGUUCAAAAGUGAAAGACGGUCUUGCUGUCACUUAUAGAUGGAUCCGCGCUGCAUUAGCUAGUUGGUAAGGUAACGGCUUACCAAGGCAACGAUGCAUAGCCGACCUGAGAGGGUGAUCGGCCACACUGGAACUGAGACACGGUCCAGACUCCUACGGGAGGCAGCAGUAGGGAAUCUUCCGCAAUGGGCGAAAGCCUGACGGAGCAACGCCGCGUGAGUGAUGAAGGUCUUCGGAUCGUAAAACUCUGUUAUUAGGGAAGAACAUAUGUGUAAGUAACUGUGCACAUCUUGACGGUACCUAAUCAGAAAGCCACGGCUAACUACGUGCCAGCAGCCGCGGUAAUACGUAGGUGGCAAGCGUUAUCCGGAAUUAUUGGGCGUAAAGCGCGCGUAGGCGGUUUUUUAAGUCUGAUGUGAAAGCCCACGGCUCAACCGUGGAGGGUCAUUGGAAACUGGAAAACUUGAGUGCAGAAGAGGAAAGUGGAAUUCCAUGUGUAGCGGUGAAAUGCGCAGAGAUAUGGAGGAACACCAGUGGCGAAGGCGACUUUCUGGUCUGUAACUGACGCUGAUGUGCGAAAGCGUGGGGAUCAAACAGGAUUAGAUACCCUGGUAGUCCACGCCGUAAACGAUGAGUGCUAAGUGUUAGGGGGUUUCCGCCCCUUAGUGCUGCAGCUAACGCAUUAAGCACUCCGCCUGGGGAGUACGACCGCAAGGUUGAAACUCAAAGGAAUUGACGGGACCCGCACAAGCGGUGGAGCAUGUGGUUUAAUUCGAAGCAACGCGAAGAACCUUACCAAAUCUUGACAUCCUUUGACAACUCUAGAGAUAGAGCUUUCCCCUUCGGGGGACAAAGUGACAGGUGGUGCAUGGUUGUCGUCAGCUCGUGUCGUGAGAUGUUGGGUUAAGUCCCGCAACGAGCGCAACCCUUAAGCUUAGUUGCCAUCAUUAAGUUGGGCACUCUAAGUUGACUGCCGGUGACAAACCGGAGGAAGGUGGGGAUGACGUCAAAUCAUCAUGCCCCUUAUGAUUUGGGCUACACACGUGCUACAAUGGACAAUACAAAGGGCAGCGAAACCGUGAGGUCAAGCAAAUCCCAUAAAGUUGUUCUCAGUUCGGAUUGUAGUCUGCAACUCGACUACAUGAAGCUGGAAUCGCUAGUAAUCGUAGAUCAGCAUGCUACGGUGAAUACGUUCCCGGGUCUUGUACACACCGCCGUCACACCACGAGAGUUUGUAACACCCGAAGCCGGUGGAGUAACCUUUUAGGAGCUAGCCGUCGAAGGUGGGACAAAUGAUUGGGGUGAAGUCGUAACAAGGUAGCCGUAUCGGAAGGUGCGGCUGGAUCACCUCCUUUCU